GGCGACCAUCUCUUCGGAAGCCUAACGAUCCAGCACAGGUCCCAGCCCUGCGCAGCCGCCCGCCAAGCCGCCAGAGGACCAGCCGAACGCCAAAGGCUAGGAGUGGACGAUUGCAGGAAGUUUCCAACUCGCCGACUUCGCCCCACUCCACUGGCUCCGGCUUGGCGGUCCCCGGCUUCGGGGUGCCCUCCGUCCCUCCCCCUCGCGUCGUCGCGUUCUCCCUUGGCAUAACCCCCCGCCGCGGGGCCGCAGACCCCCUAAGCGCUUCGUGCGCUCUCCGCGCCCUGCCCACCGGCCCCGACCCCUCCCCCGACCGGACGGGAGAGGUGGGAAGUUUGGGGGCACCCGCUGUGGGUGUCCCAUUUGCGGGGCUGGGCUCCGGGGAGCCGGCGCGCGGCGCCCGCUCCCUGCCCGCCAGCCGUUUGGGAGCUCAGGCGCGGGCAGCCGCUUUUGUUCCCGGGAAGGGCGGAGCUGCGUCCCGGGGAGACACGCGUUGCAGCCGGCAGCGUAGUUGCUCCCCGCUGGCCGGCCGCUCCGGGAGGGCCCCGCAGCGGAGGGUCGGGGCUGGGGCGGGCUGGGGAGGGGGCCCAGGGCUGGGGCCGGUUCGGCCUCCCGGGUGGCGCGCGGGCCGAGGAGCUAGGAGGACCGCCGCGCCGCUUGUCCUUUGGAUAAACCUUGGCGGUUCCUCCUCUGGUGUCCGUGGACCCCGCCGCGGCGUUCUCCAGGGCCGCGGACCUUUGCCCACCGGUUGCGCCCGCUGCCCCGGGCAGAAAGGACCCCCCUCCUCCCGGACCGAGCCCCGAGCCCCAUGGAGCAGGCAAGGGCCAGAGUCCCGGGGCCGAGGCCCGACCGGCGGACGCUCCGGGACCUUUUCCCGCCCCCGAGGGUGCAUGUCCGGCCGGGGCCGGGACUGGCUGGGAAACCGAGGCCAGAAGAGGUCGCAAUCCAGCGAGGAAUCGGACUUUCCUGCAUUCCUACAGCAAAUCCUGGUUGGUCAUGGUGGAGACUGUAAAGCAAUCAUUCUCAAGGAGGGGCUUUUUCACGCAGUAUGCCUGGAGAGAGGCUGCACCACCACCGCGUUCCUCCCCGAUGAGUCCAGUGAGCCACGGCUGCGGGCUACGGUGUUGUGGUGCUCGGGUGUGUUGGAAGGAAAUGGUUCCCGAGGCAUGCCAGCUAGCACCUGACCUACAAGAUUCCAGCUGUUUAACUGCCAUCACAAAGGCUCAUGAUGUGUUGACAGUAUUUCUGCCUGCUGCUCUGAAAAUUCAAGGAAAUAAAUACCUGACAUUUAUUGAAUGCCAGAAGCUGUUCUAAGAACUUUCUAUGUAUUAUCUAUUUUAGUCAUUAUAAUAUCCUUAUGAAAUAGGCACUUUUAUCCCCAUUUUACAGAUGAAUAAAAUAAGGCACAGAAGGGUUAAGCAACUUUCACAGGUAGAAAGCUGCACAGCCAGGAUUUAAGCCCAAGCUCUUAACCACUGCACUACAUCAAUGCAGCAAAGGCUGAAUGAACCAGAGUAUUUGAUUUACUUAGCUCUUAUGCUGGAAAGAUGGUGAGGCUUUUGCUCAUGGUCUGUAUUCAAGCACAAAUACCAAAAUCAAGGACACCUUUGCAUUGGUGCUCCAUAGGAGGUUUCCUUUUUUGUUGUUUAGAGAGAAGGUCUUACUCUGUUGCCCUGGCUGGAGUGCAGUGGUGCGAUCACAGCUCACUGCAGCCUUGACCUCCAGAGCUCAAGCAAUCCUCCACCUCAGCCUCCUGAGUAGCUGGGACUAUAGGUGCGCACUUCCACACCCAGCUAAUUUUUAAUUUUUUUUUUUUUGUAGAGACCGUCUCCCUAUAUUGCCCAGGUUGGUCUAGAAUUCCUAGGGCUCAAGUGAUCCUCCCGCCUUGGCCUAUUGGGAUUACAGAUAUGAGCCAUGGCACCCAACCUCAGAAGAGGCGCUUUUCUUGAGUUCUGGAAGGGGAUAGGAAUUAAUGUUUUGUUUGUUUGUUUGUUUUUUACUCGUCACAGAAAAGGUUCAAAGAGUAAGAUAAGCAACGUCUCAUAAUGCUGUAGUCUAAUGGACAAGGGCCCUAGCCAUCUGUGCCUGGAUGACUCUUCCUCCCAAUUUUUAAGUGUCAAAAGAUAAUUUAGAAUCUGGCAUUCUGCAUUAGAAAUCUGAACCAGUGGAGCUGUGUGCUGAUUUUCAUCAGCUUAAGUUGUCUUUAUUGUCAGUGGCUUCCUUUCCCCACAGCAGCUUUAUGGAGGCACGUGCCCAGGCAUAUGAGGAGCUUCUGUCCUUUAGUGUAUGUACACCCACAAUGCUGCAGAGAAGAGAAUCAGCAUACUGUUGGGACACAGCAGGUACCACUGCCUUCUGAAGUUUCUAGAGGUGCUAUGCCUUCAUUGUUUUCCUGCACAUGAACAUUAACAUCCACAUCAGGAUCUGGAAACCUUUACAGAAGCUGAAGUUUUAAAAAGAAAAUGAAUGGGAUUUUAUUCAAGAUAAGGAAAGGAUAAGAGUGAAUCAUCAAAUGAAACCAUGAGGCCACUUCACAAAUAUUUUAUCAAAAAACUCACCUGAGAAAACUCAAAGAAUCACAGUAAUAAGCUGUCUAUGCCAUAUUUUUUUUUUCCUUUUUUGAAAAUGCCAAGAAGCUACUACUAAGAAUGUAUUCAAGAGACGGAAGUUCCAAGAUUCAUCACAGGGUCAGGUGGGCUCAACUUAGUUUCCUGGGCCCUCUAUAACACUUCAUGUUCAGAAUUGUCUCCAAAUAAAAGCAAUUUAAGGGAACAUUCAAUAUGGGUGUCUUUGCUGUGCUUGCAGUCUUAAUUCUGUGGACACUGAUAUUCUAUCAAUGGAAAAUUGAGCCUUUAGUGAACUUGAAUACCCUGUUCCCCAAUCACUGCCCAGAGAGCAGUUUCUGAGCAGCCAACAUGUCAGAGGCAGGAAAACAGCAGCUAAAAGGCAAAGGAGAAAAAUGGAAGACACCUGCCUUUACACGUGUAUUUUAAGCUAAAUAACCAUGAUAAAAUAUCACCAACACCCAUUUUUUGUAACUUCUUAAUUGUCCCACAUCAAAGAUAAGUAUGGACAACUGUAAUUGGUUCUUAUAUAUCCCUAAAUUCCUAAUUGAAAUCAAUUCCAAUAAAUCGUUGGUGCUCAGUAGAAAAAUGCAAAAUUUAAAUAUAUAUAUUCAGUAGAAGUUACCUUCAUAACUUGUGGGGCAUUAUCAAAAUAUAAUUGGAAACCCCUCUUUGUAACCAACUAACCAAAUGAUCUUUUCUUAAAGGCACAAAUUAAAAGGUGGCAAAACAACCAUAUAUUUAGUGUGUGGGAUCACAUUCUCCUAAAGAGCAUCAGGAAAUGUAGGUAGAAGUCAAUGUUGUAGCCUAGGUUAGAAGGCCCUGCUUGCUGGGAGUUAACUCUGGUUAUUGGAUUGUGGGGAGGUGUGGCAGGGAAGGUGGUCAGGGGAACACGGGCACUCCAGAAGCUCGGAGCAGCAGCUCAUCAGCUGUGAGGCACCGUCAGCAUCCUUGCGUCCUGUGUGGCUGUGAGGCACUGUCAGCAUCCUCGCGUCCUGUGCGGCUGUGAGGCACUGUCAGCAUCCUCGCGUCCUGUGCGGCUGUGAGGCACUGUCAGCAUCCUCGCGUCCUGUGCGGCUGUGAGGCACUGUCAGCAUCCUCGCGUCCUGUGCGGCUGUGAGGCACUGUCAGCAUCCUCGCGUCCUGUGCGGCUGUGAGGCACUGUCAGCAUCCUCGCGUCCUGUGCGGCUGUGAGGCACUGUCAGCAUCCUCGCGUCCUGUGUGGCUGUGAGGCACCGUCAGCAUCCUCGCGUCCUGUGCGGCUGUGAGGCACCGUCAGCAUCCUCGCGUCCUGUGUGGCUGUGAGGCACCGUCAGCAUCCUCGCGUCCUGUGUGGCUGUGAGGCACCGUCAGCAUCCUCGGUCCUGUGCGGCUGUGAGGCACCGUCAGCAUCCUCGCGUCCUGUGUGGCUGUGAGGCACCGUCAGCAUCCUCGGUCCUGUGCGGCUGUGAGGCACCGUCAGCAUCCUCGCGUCCUGUGUGGCUGUGAGGCACUGUCAGCAUCCUCGCGUCCUGUGUGGCUGUGAGGCACCGUCAGCAUCCUCGCGUCCUGUGUGGCUGUGAGGCACCGUCAGCAUCCUCGGUCCUGUGCGGCUGUGAGGCACUGUCAGCAUCCUCGCAUCCUGUGCAGCUGGGCCAGGACAAACUGGCUGAACUGCAGCUCUGCUUGCAGCUUGCUAGAAAUACAACUUGGUAACAACAGGAGAUUGUGGACACACUAUUUUUCGUUAGUUUAUUACAAAACUACAGAUACAAUACACAAAAUUCUAAUUCCGAAAUCCUUCUACAUUUUUU
rnacentral:lncRNA from 1 species